rnacentral:rRNA from 1 species
GGGCCCGCACAAGCAGUGGAGCAUGUGGUUUAAUUCGAUGCAACGCGAAGAACCUUACCAGGGCUUGACAUACUACAAAUCUUUUAGAGAUAAAAGAGUGCUUUCGAGAAUGUAGAUACAGGUGGUGCAUGGCUGUCGUCAGCUCGUGUCGUGAGAUGUUGGUUAAGUCCCGCAACGAGCGCAACCCUCGUUUUUAGUUACCAAUUUAUUGAGAAGUUAGAAAGACUGCCGGUGACAAACCGGAGGAAGGUGAGGAUGACGUCAAGUCAGCAUGCCCCUUAUGUCCUGGGCUACACACGUGCUACAAUGAUGGGGACAAAGAGUUGCCAAUCUGCGAAGAUGAG